GAUGAACGCUGGCGGCGUGCUUAACACAUGCAAGUCGAACGGUGAACGAGGGAGCUUGCUCCCUCCGGAUCAGUGGCGAACGGGUGAGUAACACGUGAGCAAUCUGCCCUGGACUCUGGGAUAAGCGUUGGAAACGACGUCUAAUACCGGAUACGAGACGCGAAGGCAUCUUCAGCGUCUGGAAAGAACUUCGGUCCAGGAUGAGCUCGCGGCCUAUCAGGUAGUUGGUGAGGUAACGGCUCACCAAGCCUACGACGGGUAGCCGGCCUGAGCGGUGAGCCGGCCAAGCUGGGACUGAGAGACGGCACAGACCCGUACGGGGGGAAGCGGUGGGGAAUAUUGAACAAGGGGCGCAAGCCGGAGGCGGCAACGCGGCGUGAGGGACGACGGGCUUCGGGUUGUAAACCUCUUUUAGCAGGGAAGAAGCGAAAGUGACGGUACCUGCAGAAAAAGCACCGGCUAACUACGUGCCAGCAGCCGCCGUAACAC
rnacentral:rRNA from 1 species